rnacentral:lncRNA from 1 species
CAAUCUUCGCUCCGUUUCCAAUUGAUGAUAACCUUUCAGUCCAAUCGGUCUCCGACACUCUUUCUCUGUCCAAAAGCUCUAAAAUAUGUGUCGAAAUAAUGAUGUCCCGUCCAAAGGGUUGCUAGGGCUUUUAUAGGCUUCUCGUCCCGAUCCAAGAGGAAAAAUGAUUAAAAAUCCGUCUGGCGUGGAACACCCCCUCGGACACGCCGUGCUCCUGGCCGUGUUCAGCCCCUGUGACUUUUAGCCCAUUUUUUCAUCAUCAGGACAUGCCGUGUUCCAUAUGGAACACGCCUUGGGACACGCCGUGUUCUACGCCGUGUUCCUCCCCUGUAAGUUUUUCGCCCUUUUUCACGCGCGGAACACGUCGUGUUCCUGUCCAGCUGCUCUUAAUCAGUCUGUUUCCGCUCCCGCUUAUCCUCAAACACCGUGUAUUGCCUGAAAAUGUAUCAAAAACACACCGUACACGUAAUAUGGCCCCCAGGGGCAAGAGAACGAACAUGUGCUAGAGAUCCAGGGUUUAAACACUUUUCGACACACAAAAGGCUCAUUUUACAAUGAAAAAGGUGUGUCGAAUAUGCAACACAUCAUUAAACGUGUUAAAAAUGAAAAAGAAACCACUAUCAUGAAAAUUCAUAGUGACAAUGGAGGUGAAUUUGUGAACAAGGAUUUCAGUGACUUAUGUAAUAGUUUAGGAAUUCAACAUGUCUUUUCUGCUCCGAGAUCUCCUCAACAAAAUGGAGUAGUCGAAUGAAAGAAUCGUACCUUAGUUGAAAUUCCUCGAACAAUGUUAAAUGACUCCAACAUUCCUUUAAAGUUCUGGGGUGAAGCGGUUAACACUUCCUGUUAUAUUAUUAAUAGAGCUAUUGUUAGAUCUAAGAUUAAUAAACCCCCCUAUGAACUGUGGAAAGGUAGAAAGCCUCACAAUGGAUACUUUCGUCCCUUUGGAUGUAAGUGUUUCAUCUUGAACACUACGGAUAACCUUGGUAAAUUUGAUGCCAAAUCCGAUCAAGGACUAUUUCUAGGAUAUUCUGAUCAUAGUAGGGCUUAUCGCAUUUAUAAUAAACGGAGUAUGAGAGUUGAAGAAUCUAUUAACAUUUUAUUUGAUGAGUCUCUAUGUGAGGAUGUCUCUCUGCAGGAUGUUGAUGACGUAGACUCAGCCUAAAAGUUCCAGUUCAUGCACCUGUGAAUUUUACCUAUCAUGAAAUGGGAAACGGAACUUUGUAAGCCCAUACAGUCCAAUAUAGAAGCAAGCACAUGCAUAUGAUCUGAAGCAAUCACUCAUCUUGAAUUAGGAGAACUUGAGUAAGAAUCGACAUAAGAGAGCUUGUUAAGUCCAAUUACAGAUUCAAAACGUUGUUACUGCAAACACAUACAAAGAAGGAUUUAAAUAACUCUAUCCAUCUCAAAAUAUAGAUUUUUGAAAGUGGAUUUCAUAAUACGGAAAGAUGAGAUAUUGCACAUGAUUCUCUAUUACAGAGUAUACCUUUGGAAAAAAGUUUAUCAAGGACAUGAAUUUCACAACUUUAGUUCCAAUUCAUAGGGUAACAUCUGCCCGCAAAACCAUACCCAAGCGAGUUAGCCACUACACCAGCACUACUUCACCAGAGACUUUGAAAAUAAUUGUUGAAUGAUAUAAACACUUUUCUUUGAUCGAAAAGCAGCGGAAACAGAAAUCAGAAGGAAGAACAUAAACAACAGUGGGAAAAGCAACAAAGAAAUAAAAAUCGAGAAACUGAGUACCUCGGCGGAACACACAUCGGGAGCUGGUUGGAGGGUAUUAGGAUGAGAGAUAUAGGGGCGAUGGUGAAUGCUUAGGUCGGAGAAGGAAAGAGGAGCCAAGGAGCAGGAAGAGAGGGAGCGAAGAUCCGAUUUGGGGAAAAGAAAAAAGGGGCUGCAAUGUUGUUGAGGUUGGG